UGAGGAAUAUUGGUCAAUGGCCGGAAGGCUGAACCAGCCAAGUAGCGUGCAGGAAGACUGCCUUAUGGGUUGUAAACUGCUUUUUUACGGGAAUAAUUAUGAUCACGUGUGAUUAUUUGCAUGUACCGUAAGAAUAAGGAUCGGCUAACUCCGUGCCAGCAGCCGCGGUAAUACGGAGGAUCCUAGUGUUAUCCGGAUUUAUUGGGUUUAAAGGGAGCGUAGGCGGGAGGUCAAGUCAGCUGUGAAAUGUAUCUGCUUAACGGGUACACUGCAGUUGAAACUGGUUUUCUUGAGUGCGUAAGAGGCAGGCGGAAUUCGUUGUGUAGCGGUGAAAUGCUUAGAUAUGACGAGGAACUCCUAUUGCGAAGGCAGCUUGCUGGGUCGUUACUGACGCUGAUGCUCGAAGGUGCGGGGAUCAAACAGG
rnacentral:rRNA from 1 species